AGAGGUGCCCUACUGCAGAUAGAUGUUUUGUUUCGAGUUUGUGUACAUAGUUGACUUAACUCGCCAGUGCGAGUAGCUCUGUAUUUUGGAUCUGUGCUAUGUAUAUGAAACUCUGUUUUAUUUAGCUUCAGUUUUCUCUAGCAGCUCUCUACUACUGUUCGUAGUAGUGUUUGAUUUACAGGUACAGCUAUCGCUUCGUAUACAGGGAAAAUUUCUUUGUAUACGGCGGAUCUGUCGGCGUGCCCGGGGAACGUGUAAUCCGGGGCGUGACAGAUUA
rnacentral:lncRNA from 1 species